rnacentral:rRNA from 1 species
UCAAUGGCCUAACGGCUGAACCAGCAACUUGGAAGAAUGUAUAGCAAUAGCUAAUUGUAUUAACAAUGGUUUUUACAAUAUCGACUAUGUCGAAUAAAAUUCUAGGUAGAUAGAUGAUAAUGACACUAUCUAUUUAUGGUCUUGACUAAAUUACGUGCCAGCAGUCGCGGUAAUACGUAAUAGACCAGUGUUAUUCAUCUUUAAUAGGUUUAAAGCGUACUUAGACGGUAAUUAUUGCUUGAAUAAGGUACAUUAUUACUAGAGUUAUAUGUGAGAGUGCUUGAAAGUACUGUUGAGUGGAGAGAUGAUAUUCUUUUAUACCAGACGAUUGGCACAGAUAUUGGCGAAAGCAUCACUUUAUGUAAUAACUGACGUUGACAGACGAAGGCUAUGUAUCGCAAAAAGGAUUAGGUACCCUCGUAGUCUUAGCAGAAAAUUAUGAAUGUCAUAAAUUAGAUACUAUUUAGUUUAUUAAUGAAAGUGUGA